rnacentral:misc_RNA from 1 species
CUAGCUUCUGUCUUGUGCAGCGACGUCUAGCCGUGCAUUCCUUUUCAUUUUUUGGUGCAAGUGCGACUUAGCCUUGACCGUCCCAUCGGUUUCCUGUGUUGCGUACCCACUUGAUGGAAUUCGGUCGCCAAUAUUCCCACGUUCGCUUAAGGCCGCCCGUUUUUACGGUGUGGCUUAGGGUGAUCCUCGAAGCGAGAUUCGUGUUCCCCGACACACGUUGCAUGACAAUGUUGUUGUGGCCCACGUCUCAUCGUUCGUGCUCUGGGAUGCAGAAAACGCUGGAGGCAUGGGGUCUUUGACCUCUAUUUGCCCACGUAAAUCGAAAACAUCCAAACGACGUUCGGCGUCGCAUUGGUGCUAGCGCCAUGCGGCUCGAUGUCCGUGAGGAAUGCUACCU